rnacentral:rRNA from 1 species
AUUGAACGCUGGCGGCAGGCCUAACACAUGCAAGUCGAGCGGAGCGGGAGAGGGGGACGGAAUGCCUAGGAAUCUGCAUGUGAGUGGGGGAGGACGUCCAGAAACGGGCGCUAAUACUGCAUACUUUCAGUAGCGUCUCGGUCGGCUUAGCUAGUUGGAGGGGGAAAGGCCUACCAAGGCGACGAUCCGUAACUGGUCUGAGAGGAUGAUCAGUCACACUGGAACUGAGACACGGUCCAGACUCCUACGGGAGGCAGCAGUGGGGAAUAUUGGACAAUGGGCGAAAGCCUGAUCCAGCCAUGCCGCGUGUGUGAAGAAGGUCUUCGGAUUGUAAAGCACUUUAAGUUGAGAGGCGUUAUCUACAGAAUAAGCACCGGCUAACUUCGUGCCAGCAGCCGCGGUAAUAC